UGUCUGUCCAUUUCUGAUGGAGGGGAGUUGAAGUCUCUAACUAUGACAGUGGAUUCAUCUAUUUCUCCUUGCAGUUCUGUCAGUUUCUGCCUCACAUCGUUUGACUCUCUGUUGUCAGGAUGACCUUGGGCUUAUUUGGCUAAGAGAAUGCAGCAGACAAGACAGCAUGCCAGUUCCAAGCCUAGGCCUCAUGAGGCCUUGAAUUCUUCUCCUUUUCUCUCUUGGGUCUUUAUCCGCCACCACGUGAACAAGCUGAGGCCAACCUGUUGGUUGGAGAAAGAGAGACCACACUGAAGAGAGCUGAGCUGUCUUCUGAGGGCAUCCUGUACCAACCAGACCCAGCUAACCCAGCACGAACUGCUGACAACGACUGAGGCCAGAGGAAAUCAAAACUGCCUACCUGAGUCCAGACCACCUGCCAGUCUGAAGAACUGUGAGCCAAGUCAUUGUUUUAACAGCAAAAGUUAUCAGA